AGAACUUGAUCAGAGGUCAUGGAUGAGGCA
rnacentral:piRNA from 1 species